GAUGAACGCUGGCGGCGUGCCUAAUACAUGCAAGUCGAGCGAACAGACGAGGAGCUUGCUCCUCUGACGUUAGCGGCGGACGGGUGAGUAACACGUGGAUAACCUACCUAUAAGACUGGGAUAACUUCGGGAAACCGGAGCUAAUACCGGAUAAUAUAUUGAACCGCAUGGUUCAAUAGUGAAAGACCGUUUUGCUGUCACUUAUAGAUGGAUCCGCGCCGCAUUAGCUAGUUGGUAAGGUAACGGCUUACCAAGGCAACGAUGCGUAGCCGACCUGAGAGGGUGAUCGGCCACACUGGAACUGAGACACGGUCCAGACUCCUACGGGAGGCAGCAGUAGGGAAUCUUCCGCAAUGGGCGAAAGCUUGACGGAGCAACGCCGCGUGAGUGAUGAAGGUCUUCGGAUCGUAAAACUCUGUUAUUAGGGAAGAACAAAUGUGUAAGUAACUAUGCACGUCUUGACGGUACCUAAUCAGAAAGCCACGGCUAACUACGUG
rnacentral:rRNA from 1 species